CAGUAGCCGCGGGAAUACGUAGGUCCCGAGCGUUGUCCGGAUUUAUUGGGCGUAAAGCGAGCGCAGGCGGUUAGAUAAGUCUGAAGUUAAAGGCUGUGGCUUAACCAUAGUACGCUUUGGAAACUGUUUAACUUGAGUGCAAGAGGGGAGAGUGGAAUUCCAUGUGUAGCGGUGAAAUGCGUAGAUAUAUGGAGGAACACCGGUGGCGAAAGCGGCUCUCUGGCUUGUAACUGACGCUGAGGCUCGAAAGCGUGGGGAGCAAACAGGAUUAGAUACCCGCGUAGUCCCUGUCUCUUAUACC
rnacentral:rRNA from 1 species